AUUAAUAAGCGGAGGAAAAGAAACUAACGAGGAUUCCCUCAGUAACGGCGAGUGAAGCGGGAUGAGCCCAGCACCGAAUCCCCCGCCUCUGACGGCGGCGGGAACUGUGGUGUUUAGGACAGCCUAUGGGGAUCGAUUGGGGGUCCGAGUCCCUCUGAUUGGGGCUUCACCCAGAGCGGGUGGCAGGCCUCUACGGCCCCCGGUCGGUUCUCUAAGGUCGUCCUAGGAGUCGGGUUGUUUGAGAAUGCAGCCCAAAGCGGGUGGUAAACUCCAUCUAAGGCUAAAUACAGACACGAGUCCGAUAGCGCACAAGUACCGUGAGGGAAAGUU
rnacentral:rRNA from 1 species